UGGCCGUGAAAGUGAAAAGUGAGUGGGAUAGUGAAGUGGAAGAAGUAGAGAGGGAAGACCUUUUACUGAUGUUGUCAAUUGGACCCUGAUCAACGCUACACCAUCCGCGGGUGUCCUACAGAGAAACUCCGGCCAUCUACCAACACGUUCCAAAGUGACACUAUUUGCACAAUUUCUCGGAGCAUCAAACAAAAAAAAAACGCUUCCACGCAUGACGACGAUCACGACGACGGCGAAACUUGUUAGUAGUUAGUCAAUCGUUGCGGCCGAGUAGAAUCCAGUUUGAGACAUUGAGACAUUAACAUGAAAUGAAAACUGAAUGAAAUAAAAACCAUUAUUUGAAGAACCAAAAUCAGAAUAAUUGAGGUUUAGAUCCGAUCACUGGGGACGAUUGCAGACGACUCUUCCCAGACCCAUCAAUGCACGGGCCAGGGCCUACAACUUCACGUUCCAUUCGGAAGAAGACGUGGUCGGGGAUUUUUCACUUCGGAAUAUUCACCUAAUCCAGGUCAUAUGAAGCUUUCACGUUAACCAUACAGUCGCCUACGCCGUAUAACGAACUUGUGAGAACAAAAAAUGUAAACCUGUACCGUCUUGAUUAUCUUGGCAGUAAUUUACAAUAACAUGUUCUUCCAAAGUAUGGUUCACUACUGCGCGUAUUAUUGCACAAUA